rnacentral:rRNA from 1 species
AGUGAACGCUGGCGGUAGGCCUAACACAUGCAAGUCGAACGGCAGCACAGGAGAGCUUGCUCUCUGGGUGGCGAGUGGCGGACGGGUGAGGAAUACAUCGGAAUCUACUUUUUCGUGGGGGAUAACGUAGGGAAACUUACGCUAAUACCGCAUACGACCUACGGGUGAAAGCAGGGGAUCUCCGGACCUUGCGCGAUUGAAUGAGCCGAUGUCGGAUUAGCUAGUUGGCGGGGUAAAGGCCCACCAAGGCGACGAUCCGUAGCUGGGCUGAGAGGAUGAUCAGCCACACUGGAACUGAGACACGGUCCAGGUUCCUACGGGAGGCAGCAGUGGGGAAUAUUGGACAAUGGGCGCAAGCCUGAUCCAGCCAUACCGCGUGGGUGAAGAAGGCCUUCGGGUUGUAAAGCCCUUUUGUUGGGAAAGAAAUCCAGCUGGUUAAUACCCGGUUGGGAUGACGGUACCCAAAGAAUAAGCACCGGCUAACUUCGUGCCAGCCGCCGCGGUAA